rnacentral:sRNA from 1 species
AAGGUGGAGACGUCGGCGGGGGCCCCGGGAAGAGU